UUUAUUUUAUUUUUAUUGGGAGAGGGUCUUGUUAUAUAGCUCAGACUGGCUUUGAACUCAUUAUGUAGCCCAAGCUGGCCUCAAACUCAUGGCAAUCCUCCUGCCUCAGCCUC
rnacentral:miRNA from 1 species